CGUAAAUGUGCGCCUUUUUUCAAUGCUGAUUUGAAGGUCAUUGAGAAAACUAGAGAAAUGUCGAAGUUUUUUCCCCGCAAACAUCCUUUCUGAAUUUAAAAGUAAUCCUCGAUGUAAUCAUCUAGUUUUUUAAAAGUAUCUGUAAUCUGAUUACAAUAUUUUAGCUGGUAACGGAUUACAGUUGCCGUUUUUUGUAAUCUCAGUGCAAGAGGUGUCACGACAGACCCUGGUUCAAUUCCAGGCUGUUUCACAACCGGCCGUGAUUGGGAGUCCCAUAGGGCAGCGCACAAUUGGCCCAACGUCGUCCGGGUUUGGCUGGGGCAAUCACAAGGAAAGGAUGGCCAGCCACACAGGAGGGUGAUUUUCACUACAGAGGAGGAGGCCGUGCUGACGGAGAUCAAUGCUGGCCAUUUCGGAGUGAAGCGCAUCAUUGGCAAAAUAAACCUUCUUCUGGAGUGGGAUUGUCAAGGAUGUGGACAGCUGGGCAAGUGAAAUAACCUUUUGUUUAUCAAUCACAUUCUAUUAUAUCUGAAAAUGACUAUCAUAUCAGAGAACACACAAUGUUUCAAUGUGCCACGUUGUGCCUAAAGGUCAGUACCCUGUCUAGUCUGCCAGAAGUUUGAGAGGGUGAUGACUGUGGCGCCAGAGUUAAAGCCCAUCACUUGUUUCACCGUGGCACAUGAUUGGUCAGCCCAUCAGUUAUUUCACCGUGGCACAUGAUCGGUCAGCCCAUCAGUUAUUUCACCGUGGCACAUGAUCGGUCAGCCCAUCAGUUGUUUCACCGUGGCAUAUGAUCAGUGCAGUGAUCUGUGAGCUGCUUGUAUGAUAUCCAUCAAGGACGAGACUGGCGAGGACACCUCCAAGGCGAUGAUGGACAUCUUCAAAACCCACGGUUCUCCUGAGGUCAUCUUGAGUCACCGAGGUCGUGAACUCUGGAACAAGGUUUGGAUGAACUGACCAACCAGACCCUCAAGACUACCAUGGGCAAGUCCCUUGACGAGUACCAGGAACGGUGGGAGAACAACCUGAAGGUAAUUCUCUUUGAACACAACAGCAGCAUCCAGGAUUCCACCGAGUACUCGCCCUAUCGCCUGCUGUACGGACGUGAGCCGUAGCUGUUAGUGAGAUCACUGAAAUUCCACCUGAUGUGAUGGAGGUUGUUGAACCAGAUCAGAAUUCCUUCCAGGACCACGUUCAGGCACGGCUGAGAAGAAUGUGGAGGUUUUUGACCAGGUGAGACUGAACAUGGACAAGGCACAGGAGAAACAAAAGGAGAGCUACUGGAGGAGAAUCAAAAAGGGAACCAAGUGCUCGACAUCGAAUGACUUGGCUUGCAAGAAGGUCGAAAGGAAGACGAGACCUGGGAAACCUCUGCUCUUUCGCUCCUAGCUAGGGGUUACCUCGGUGGAAGCCAACAAUCUUCUACAGUUGGAACAGUUGGACGGUCAACCACUGAAAGCUCUGUCGCCCUACGCUUCGGUGAAGCCCAAUAGACAAAGACCAUCGACUGUCCGAGCCACCCAGGAUGGGUCCACCAGAGCCAGUGAUUUUGGAACAGUCUGACUUUCUGUGCUCUGAGUCUGAGGGGGACCAGCUUAACUUCAAAAAACAGUUGAAAAGACCUAGGAGUUCUGCCGAACACCCAGACGUGGAUCUACCUAAUGUCCUCCAUUACCAACCACCCUCCAACAAUUACAUAAUCUACAGCUACUGUUACUGUUAUGUUGUCAUUAUCUGUGAAUAAAGUUUUCUUGCUCUAUCAUACUGGGUACAUAAAAUGUGAGAUACACAGGUGAACUAAAAACACUUGCACUGCAAACACUCAGAACAAAGAGAGCAUCAGUGCGUGAACUUUGCAGUCUCCCUCUUCAAGUCCCUCUUCCGGCUGCCUGUUGAAUGGCAGAACCUCCCACCCACACAGCACCC
rnacentral:lncRNA from 1 species